GUCUGCGCUGCUACAGAUGCUUGGCGGUCUUGGAAGGGGCCUCCUGCAGCGUGGUCUCGUGCCCCUUCCUGGAUGGGGUCUGUGUCUCCCAGAAAGUGAGCGUCUUUGGCGGUAAAGUGAGAGGGGAGAACAAGCUCUCCCUCCUCUCCUGCCAGAAGGACGUCGGAUUCCCCCUGCUGAAACUUACAAGUGCCGUUGUGGACUCCCAGAUCUCUUGCUGCA
rnacentral:lncRNA from 1 species